rnacentral:piRNA from 1 species
UGGAGCAAUCCGGUGUUUGGCUAGUUGA